AGUGGGGAAUAUUGCACAAUGGGCGAAAGCCUGAUGCAGCGACGCCGCGUGAGUGAAGAAGGUCUUCGGAUCGUAAAACUCUGUCCUUGGUGAAGAAAAAAAUGACGGUAGCCAAGGAGGAAGCCCCGGCUAACUACGUGCCAGCAGCCGCGGUAAUACGUAGGGGGCGAGCGUUGUCCGGAUUUACUGGGCGUAAAGGGUGAGUAGGCGGUUAUAUAAGUCAGAUGUAAAAGGCACAGGCUUAACUUGUGUAAGCAUUUGAAACUGUAUAACUUGAGUGCAGGAGAGGUAAGUGGAAUUCCUAGUGUAGCGGUGAAAUGCGUAGAUAUUAGGAGGAACACCAGUGGCGAAGGCGACUUACUGGACUGUAACUGACGCUGAGUCACGAAAGCGUGGGUAGCAAACAGGAUUAGAUACCCUGGUAGUCCACGCUGUAAACGAUGAGUGCUAGGUGUUGGCCAGCGAUGGUCAGUGCCGAAGUUAACACAAUAAGCACUCCGCCUGGGGAGUACGGUCGCAAGACUGAAACUCAAAGGAAUUGACGGGGACCCGCACAAGCAGCGGAGCAUGUGGUUUAAUUCGAAGCAACGCGAAGAACCUUACCAAGGUUUGACAUCCCCUUGACAGAUGCAGAGAUGUGUCCUCCCCUUCGGGGGCAAGGGAGACAGGUGGUGCAUGGUUGUCGUCAGCUCGUGUCGUGAGAUGUUGGGUUAAGUCCCGCAACGAGCGCAACCCUUAUCAUUAGUUGCCAGCAGGUUAAGCUGGGCACUCUAAUGAGACUGCCGGUGAUAAACCGGAGGAAGGUGGGGAUGACGUCAAAUCAUCAUGCCCCUUAUAUCUUGGGCUACGCACGUGCUACAAUGGUCGGUACAAAGAGAAGCGAAAGAGUGAUCUGAAGCAAAUCUUCAUAAACCGAUCCCAGUUCGGAUUGUAGGCUGCAACUCGCCUACAUGAAGUUGGAGUUGCUAGUAAUCGCGAAUCAGAACGUCGCGGUGAAUGCGUUCCCGGGUCUUGUACACACCGCCCGUCACACCAUGGAAGUUGGUAAUACCCAAAGUCGCUGAGCUAACCGCAAGGAGGCAGGCGCCUAAGGUAGGAUCAAUGACUGGGGUG
rnacentral:rRNA from 1 species